CCUACGGGAGGCAGCAGUGGGGAAUAUUGGGCAAUGGGCGCAAGCCUGACCCAGCAACGCCGCGUGAAGGAAGAAGGCUCUCGGGUUGUAAACUUCUUUUCUCAGGGACGAAGAAAGUGACGGUACCUGAGGAAUAAGCCACGGCCAACUACGUGCCAUCAGCCGCGGGAAUACGUAGGUGGCAAGCGUUAUCCGGAUUUAUUGGGUGUAAAGGGCGUGUAGGCGGGAGCGCAAGUCAGAUGGGAAAACUCAGGGCUCAACCCUGAGCCUGCAUUUGAAACUGUGUUUCUUGAGUGGUGGAGAGGUAGUCGGAAUUCCGGGUGUAGCGGUGAAAUGCGUAGAUAUACGGAGGAACACCAGUGGCGAAGGCGGAUUGCUGGACAGUAACUGACGCUGAGGCGCGAAAGCGUGGGGAGCAAACAGGAUUAGAUACCCUUGUAGUC
rnacentral:rRNA from 1 species